rnacentral:rRNA from 1 species
UACAGAGGUCCCAAGCGUUGUUCGGAUUCACUGGGCGUAAAGGGUGCGUAGGUGGCCAGGUAAGUUUGGUGUGAAAGCUCGGAGCUUAACUCCGAAAAGUCAUUGAAUACUAUCUGGCUGGAGGGUCGGAGGGGAGACUGGAAUUCUCGGUGUAGCAGUGAAAUGCGUAGAUAUCGAGAGGAACACCAGUGGCGAAGGCGAGUCCCUGGACAACUUCUGACACUGAGGCACGAAAGCUAGGGGAGCAAACAGG